rnacentral:rRNA from 1 species
AGCGAACGCUGGCGGCAGGCCUAACACAUGCAAGUCGAACGAAGUCUUCGGACUUAGUGGCGGACGGGUGAGUAACACGUGGGAACGUGCCUUUAGGUUCGGAAUAACUCAGGGAAACUUGUGCUAAUACCGAAUGUGCCCUUCGGGGGAAAGAUUUAUCGCCUUUAGAGCGGCCCGCGUCUGAUUAGCUAGUUGGUGAGGUAAAGGCUCACCAAGGCGACGAUCAGUAGCUGGUCUGAGAGGAUGAUCAGCCACAUUGGGACUGAGACACGGCCCAAACUCCUACGGGAGGCAGCAGUGGGGAAUCUUGCGCAAUGGGCGAAAGCCUGACGCAGCCAUGCCGCGUGAAUGAUGAAGGUCUUAGGAUUGUAAAAUUCUUUCACCGGGGACGAUAAUGACGGUACCUGGAGAAUAAGCUCCGGCUAACUCCGUGCCAGCCGCCGCGGUAAUAC